rnacentral:lncRNA from 1 species
UAUGUUUUUGUAAGCAAGUUCCAAUGUAAGAAGAAAUGCAAGAGACAAUAAGUUCCAAGGUCUACUCUGUGCAAUGAUGAAAACCCAAGAUGGCAGGAGACGAAGCAUUGGGAGAAAGUGCCCCAAUGUCGUCAGUGCCUUAGUUUGUAUUUUACAGAUGAGAGCAUUGGCUGAGAUUUACAAAGAACAAACAAGUCCAUAGUCAGAUGCUAGAAACAAUUUCAACCCAGUGCUGACUGACGACAG